GACGAACGCUGGCGGCGUGCUUAACACAUGCAAGUCGAACGGUGAAGCGCCUUCCUUUUUGGUGGGUGUGGAUGAGUGGCGAACGGGUGAGUAACACGUGAGUAACCUGCCCCCUUCUUCUGGAUAACCGCAUGAAAGUGUGGCUAAUACGGGAUAUUCUGGGUCUGUCGCAUGAUGGGUCUGGGAAAGAUAUUGUUUCGGUGGGGGAUGGGCUCGCGGCCUAUCAGCUUGUUGGUGGGGUGAUGGCCUACCAAGGCGGUGACGGGUAGCCGGCCUGAGAGGGUGGACGGGCACACUGGGACUGAGACACGGCCGAGACUCCUACGGGAGGCAGCAGUGGGGAAUAUUGCACAAUGGGCGCAAGCCUGAUGCAGCGACGCCGCGUGAGGGAUGGAGGCCUUCGGGUUGUGAACCUCUUUCGCCAGUGAAGCAGGCCUGCCUCGUUUGUGGGUGGGUUGACGGUAGCUGGAUAAGAAGCGCCGGCUAACUACGUG
rnacentral:rRNA from 1 species